AGUGACCAGAAGACAGCAGUGUGAGCCUCUGUCACGCCCGGGCAGGGCCACCAGAGGGCUCCUUGGUCUAGUGGUAA
rnacentral:miRNA from 1 species